GCGGGUUUAGCUCAGUUGGGAGAGCGUCAGACUGAAGUUGCAACUUCAUUUCCAAAUAUCUUAAUCAAGAGAUAAUCUGAAGGUCGUGUGUUCGAUCCACACAAACCGCA